rnacentral:rRNA from 2 species
GUGCGAGACCGAUAGCGAACAAGUACCGUGAGGGAAAGAUGAAAAGAACUUUGAAAAGAGAGUUAAAGAGUACCUGAAACUGCUGAAAGGGAACCGAAUCGUAUCCAGUGUCUAUAAUCCAUGGCAUAUUUCAUUGGCGAGUGAGUGCGUGCAGCGUUUUGGAAGUGGUUUUCCGCUCCUGUCGUUGUUGUGCAUUUGCUUGCUGGUGCCCUGUGCUGUGGUGGGACGUCAGAGUCAGUUUGUAUGUUGCGGGAAAUGGUUAUUGGGGAGGUAGGUCACUUCGGUGGCUGUUAUAUCCUGGUAACUAGUCGUCGUGGCUGAGACUGAGGUGCCUACAAUGUGCUUUCGAGUGUGCGGGAUUCUCGUGUGGCUGUUUGCUUUGAUAGCUUGCUAUGUUGGUGAAUAAGUCGUGCGAUUGAGACUUGUAUUAACUUGUUGCUGUUCGGGACUUUGA